rnacentral:rRNA from 1 species
GUACUUUCAGCAGUGAGGAAGGUGGUAUGUUAAUAGCAUACUCUAUUUGACGUUAGCUGCAGAAGAAGCACCGGGCUAACUCCGUGCCAGCAGCCGACGGUAAUACGGGAGGGUGCGAGUACGUUAAUACGGUAAUUACGUGGGACGUAAAGCGCAUCGCAGGUUGGUUUAGUUAAGUCAGAUGUAGAAACGGCCCGGGGCUACAACCGUACGGUAAUUGCUAUUUAGAAACGUGGACAAACUAGAGUACUGUAGAGGGGGUAGAAUUUCCAGGUGUAGCGGUGAAAUGCGUAGAGAUCUGAAGGAAUACCGGUGGCGAAGGCGGCCCCCUGGACAGAUACUGACACUCAGAUGCGAAAGCGUGGGGAGCAAACAGGAUUAGAUACCCUGGUAG